CACAUGCAAGUCGAACGGCAGCACAGAAGAGCUUGCUCUUUGGGUGGCGAGUGGCGGACGGGUGAGUAAUGUCUGGGAAACUGCCCGAUGGAGGGGGAUAACUACUGGAAACGGUAGCUAAUACCGCAUAACGUCGCGAGACCAAAGUGGGGGACCUUCGGGCCUCACACCAUCGGAUGUGCCCAGAUGGGAUUAGCUAGUAGGUGGGGUAAUGGCUCACCUAGGCGACGAUCCCUAGCUGGUCUGAGAGGAUGACCAGCCACACUGGAACUGAGACACGGUCCAGACUCCUACGGGAGGCAGCAGUGGGGAAUAUUGCACAAUGGGCGCAAGCCUGAUGCAGCCAUGCCGCGUGUAUGAAGAAGGCCUUCGGGUUGUAAAGUACUUUCAGCGGGGAGGAAGGCGGUGAGGUUAAUAACCUUGCCGAUUGACGUUACCCGCAGAAGAAGCACCGGCUAACUCCGUGCCAGCAGCCGCGGUAAUACGGAGGGUGCAAGCGUUAAUCGGAAUUACUGGGCGUAAAGCGCACGCAGGCGGUCUGUUAAGUCAGAUGUGAAAUCCCCGGGCUUAACCUGGGAACUGCAUUUGAAACUGGCAGGCUUGAGUCUCGUAGAGGGGGGUAGAAUUCCAGGUGUAGCGGUGAAAUGCGUAGAGAUCUGGAGGAAUACCGGUGGCGAAGGCGGCCCCCUGGACGAAGACUGACGCUCAGGUGCGAAAGCGUGGGGAGCAAACAGGAUUAGA
rnacentral:rRNA from 1 species